AAGUACUGUAAAGGGUAUAUAAAUAUUUGUAUAGAAAUUUUUAAAAGUUGUACCUUUUGUAUCAGGAACUAUUUAAUAUGUUGUAUGUUGUUUCGAAGCUGGUUGAGUUAGGUCUAAGUAAGUAUUUAUGUUUAAUAAUGUUGUUCAGUUAGAUUUAGUGGAGAUAUUUUUACGGAUCUAGUGAUAUCUGUUUAUUUAAUAAAAUUUUAGAUUUUAUCUAGUUUGGGUUUAAAGUUAGAGGUUGGCCUUUUACUGCGAUUAUAUUGAUAAUACGCGAUUUAUGAGGUAGGCUUUAGACUAGCUAGUUUUACAUAGUGUUUUAAGGAAGUUAGAUAGUGUAUAGAUAGGUUAUUGAUAAUAUUAUAUAGUUAGAUUUAGUAGCUGUAAAAUUACUGAUAGUAUAAGUAUAUAUGUAGUAUAUUAGUUAAGAACUAGGCAAUUUUUUAUUGAAUGUUUAACAAAAACAUUUCUUUAGAUUUUUGAGGUAUGUCCUGCCCGGUGGAAGCCUAAACGGCUGCGGUAUUUUGACUGUGCUAAGGUAGCAUAAUCAUUCGCUUUUUAAUUGAAGGCUGGUAUGAAUGGUUAAACAAUAGAGGUCUGUUUUAUGGUAUUAGUAUAAUUUGUAUUUUAAGUAAAAAUACUUAUAUAUAAUAAAGGGACGAUAAGACCCUAGAAGCUUUAAUUUUAUAGUCUGUUAGAAUUAAUAAGCUUAGAAUGUUAGCUGGGGUAGCGGCUAUAUUUCAAUUAUAGUUGGAGAUUAUCUCUAGAGAAAUAAGAUCCUUUAAAUAAGGAUAGUUAGAUUUAGUUACUUUAGGGAUAACAGCGUAAUAGUUUUGGAGAGAUCUUAUUGAUAUAAUUGUUUACGACCUCGAUGUUGAAUUAAGAUUUUUUAUAGUGCAGAAAAUAUGAUGAAAGGUUUGUUCAACCUGUAGUGUCUUACAUGAUUUGAGUUCAGACCGGUUUAAGCCAGGUUGGUUUCUAUCUUUUAUAGCGUUAGAGGUUAAUUUAGUACGAAAGGGCCAAUUAAUAGUUUG
rnacentral:rRNA from 1 species